UAGUGUUCUUGGUGGUUUGUCACUAAGUGCACUUGAAGAUAGUGUGAGGAAUAGAGCACGAUUGAGUACAAUUCAAUGGGCUCAUAACACAUCUUUAAUCCCAUCACAAAGGAAUUCAGCCCCCCUAAAAUAGGCCUAACGACGCCCCUGGUCAUAACAUCCUUACAAUGUGAUAUUUCAGUUCUGUGCUUACAGCGUGUUGCACUGCCCCCAGGUGGCCAAAAGAACCAAAUGAAUGCAAGUUUUGUAUUGGAUUUUAGACCAGUUCUUCCAGAAACAUUGCAUGCCUUUGAUGGUUUUUCUCUUUGUCAUGUUAUAGGUGGGUGAAAUUCAAAAUGAGUGGUUACAAGAAUUGUACACGACUAUCCACAGCCACAACCCACAGUUCAUCGCCCUGCACUUCCAGGAGGUGGGAGGAAAGGACUAUAUGGUCAACAUGGGCCACGCCGAAAACUUCUUUUGGAACAUUGAGUCCAGUGAGAAAAUGAAAGACUUUGACAGGGUCUGCAUCUAUGUGGACAACCAGUUCCAAGCAGAAGACAGCUUCACGGUAAGAAACACACUCAGGUCUGAGUCAGAGUAGUUCACAUGUGCUUCCACUAGAUGGGGUCCUCCUCCAUGUCAAUGCUCAGAGGUAGUUGGAGCGGUAGGAUGUACCUUGCUGAUGCUGAUGAGUCCAAAGUAGGAGUUAGUUGCUGGUCAACACUUGAGAUAAGAGUGGAACAUUUGUAAAUACAUAUGAGUUAUUAGAUUUUGUAUGUUAUAAGAUCUUAGCAGGGGGGGUUACAAAAGAAGAAAAGCAUAAAAACAGAACAAACAUGGAAAAAAAAUAUCAUCGGUGAGAUUAGAGUACGUAAUUAAAGCUUCUCCAAUGAAUACUUUUGUAUCAACAAGGGAUAAAUGAAUAUGUGUCAUGUUAAAGAAGUCGCUCAGAUUGACACUUAGUGUUCUUGGUGGUUUGUCACUAAGUGCACUU